AUUGAACGCUGGCGGCAGGCCUAACACAUGCAAGUCGAGCGGAUGAAGGGAGCUUGCUCCUGGAUUCAGCGGCGGACGGGUGAGUAAUGCCUAGGAAUCUGCCUGGUAGUGGGGGAUAACGUCCGGAAACGGGCGCUAAUACCGCAUACGUCCUGAGGGAGAAAGUGGGGGAUCUUCGGACCUCACGCUAUCAGAUGUGCCUAGGUCGGAUUAGCUAGUUGGUGGGGUAAAGGCCUACCAAGGCGACGAUCCGUAACUGGUCUGAGAGGAUGAUCAGUCACACUGGAACUGAGACACGGUCCAGACUCCUACGGGAGGCAGCAGUGGGGAAUAUUGGACUAUGGGCGAAAGCCUGAUCCAGCCAUGCCGCGUGUGGGAAGAAGGUCUUCGGAUUGUAAAGCACUUUAAGUUGGGAGGAAGGGCAGUAAGUUAAUACCUUGCUGUUUUGACGGUACCAACAGAAUAAGCACCGGCUAACUUCGUG
rnacentral:rRNA from 1 species